AAAUACAAAAGCAAUCAGUUGUCAAGAAUUGGAACAGGCUGUCUGGAGAAGUGGUUGAGUCACCAUCCCUGGAGGUAUUUAAAAGAUGUGUAGAUGUGGCACGUAGGGACAUGGUUUAGU